rnacentral:rRNA from 1 species
CUGCAGUGCGGGUGCUAUACAUGCAAGUCGAGCGGACGGAUGGGAGCUUGCUCCCUGAAGUCAGCGGCGGACGGGUGAGUAACACGUGGGCAACCUGCCUGUAAGACUGGGAUAACUUCGGGAAACCGGAGCUAAUACCGGAUAAUGCAUUUCCCCUCAUGGGGAUAUGCUGAAAGAUGGUUUCGGCUAUCACUUACAGAUGGGCCCGCGGCGCAUUAGCUAGUUGGUGAGGUAACGGCUCACCAAGGCAACGAUGCGUAGCCGACCUGAGAGGGUGAUCGGCCACACUGGGACUGAGACACGGCCCAGACUCCUACGGGAGGCAGCAGUAGGGAAUCUUCCGCAAUGGACGAAAGUCUGACGGAGCAACGCCGCGUGAGUGAUGAAGGUUUUCGGAUCGUAAAACUCUGUUGUCAGGGAAGAACAAGUGCCGGAGUAACUGCCGGCACCUUGACGGUACCUGACCAGAAAGCCACGGCUAACUACGUGCCAGCAGCCGCGGUAAUACGUAGGUGGCAAGCGUUGUCCGGAAUUAUUGGGCGUAAAGCGCGCGCAGGCGGUCUCUUAAGUCUGAUGUGAAAGCCCACGGCUCAACCGUGGAGGGUCAUUGGAAACUGGGGGACUUGAGUGCAGAAGAGGAAAGUGGAAUUCCACGUGUAGCGGUGAAAUGCGUAGAGAUGUGGAGGAACACCAGUGGCGAAGGCGACUUUCUGGUCU